rnacentral:rRNA from 1 species
CAAGUCGAGCGGACAGAUGGGAGCUUGCUCCCUGAUGUUAGCGGCGGACGGGUGAGUAACACGUGGGUAACCUGCCUGUAAGACUGGGAUAACUCCGGGAAACCGGGGCUAAUACCGGAUGGUUGUCUGAACCGCAUGGUUCAGACAUAAAAGGUGGCUUCGGCUACCACUUACAGAUGGACCCGCGGCGCAUUAGCUAGUUGGUGAGGUAACGGCUCACCAAGGCGACGAUGCGUAGCCGACCUGAGAGGGUGAUCGGCCACACUGGGACUGAGACACGGCCCAGACUCCUACGGGAGGCAGCAGUAGGGAAUCUUCCGCAAUGGACGAAAGUCUGACGGAGCAACGCCGCGUGAGUGAUGAAGGUUUUCGGAUCGUAAAGCUCUGUUGUUAGGGAAGAACAAGUGCCGUUCAAAUAGGGCGGCACCUUGACGGUACCUAACCAGAAAGCCACGGCUAACUACGUGCCAGCAGCCGCGGUAAUACGUAGGUGGCAAGCGUUGUCCGGAAUUAUUGGGCGUAAAGGGCUCGCAGGCGGUUUCUUAAGUCUGAUGUGAAAGCCCCCGGCUCAACCGGGGAGGGUCAUUGGAAACUGGGGAACUUGAGUGCAGAAGAGGAGAGUGGAAUUCCACGUGUAGCGGUGAAAUGCGUAGAGAUGUGGAGGAACACCAGUGGCGAAGGCGACUCUCUGGUCUGUAACUGACGCUGAGGAGCGAAA